rnacentral:rRNA from 1 species
GACGAACGCUGGCGGCGUGCUUAACACAUGCAAGUCGAACGGAAAGGCCCUGCUUUUGUGGGGUGCUCGAGUGGCGAACGGGUGAGUAACACGUGAGUAACCUGCCCUUGACUUUGGGAUAACUUCAGGAAACUGGGGCUAAUACCGGAUAGGAGCUCCUGCUGCAUGGUGGGGGUUGGAAAGUUUCGGCGGUUGGGGAUGGACUCGCGGCUUAUCAGCUUGUUGGUGGGGUAGUGGCUUACCAAGGCUUUGACGGGUAGCCGGACUGAGAGGGUGACCGGGAACAGUGGGACUGAGACACGGCCCCGACUCCUACGGGAGGCAGCAGUGGGGGUUAUUGCAAAAUGGGCGGAAGCGUGAUGCAGCAACGCCGCGUGCGGGAGGGCGGCCUUCGGGUUAUAAACCGCUUGCGCCUGUGACGAAGCGUGUGUGACGGUAAUGGGUAAAGAAGCACCGGCUAACUACGUG